rnacentral:rRNA from 1 species
UACGGGGGGGGCAAGCGUUGUUCGGAAUUACUGGGCGUAAAGGGCUCGUAGGCGGCCAACUAAGUCCGACGUGAAAUCCCCAGGCUUAACCUGGGAACUGCGUCGGAUACUGGAUGGCUUGAAUCCGGGAGAGGGAUGCGGAAUUCCAGGUGUAGCGGUGAAAUGCGUAGAUAUCAGGAGGAACACCGAUGGCGAAGGCAGGUCUCUGGGCAUUAACUGGCGCUGAGGAGCGAAAGCAUGGGGAGCGAACAGG